rnacentral:lncRNA from 1 species
GGGACGUGUUAGUGGAUGAACUAGUCUAGGUUGCGGAAUAAAUCUGUGACUCGGACCGGAUCGUCCCUAGCUCGUCACGUAGCGCUUCCGGACCAUGGUGUUGGGUUGGACGGUCAGUCAUGUUCUUGUUUGAUUGUUGGCUGGCCGGUUGGCCUUUCAUCUCCAAUCCUUGGUGUUGGUUGGUCCGUCGGUCAUGUUCUUGUUUGAUUGUUGGCCGGUGGGUCGACCUAUGCCUAGGACGGUUCGGGGGUGUUACAGAGGUGGUAUCAGAGCAUGGUUACGAUUAUGCUCACUGGUUCCCGUGGUUUUUCAAAUGUUUUCAAUGUUUUUCGAGUCAAAAGGAGUCGCCAAUGCACUCUUUAGGAAUCCGGUCGUGUCCAAUCGUUUAGGAGGGGUAGGAGAGAUUUUAUUUUAUUAUUAGCUUGUUGUCUAACCCAUAUAUAUUGCGACAUGAUUCCGCAGGUUGCUGUACUGGUGUGGUAGGGUGGAGAUUUGGAGUUACGGAGGAUUUCGACGUUUCGCCUAGUCCUAUACUUGCCGAUCUUUUUCAGCCGCAUGAGUUUGAUCAGAUCGUACCAGACAUGUUUCCGACACCUAUCAUCAUUUCUGAUGAUGACACCGAGCCUGAUGAUGCGGUUCCGACACCCUUUAUUGUCAUUUCUGACGAUGAGACCAAUGCGGAUGAUCUUGUUCCGCAGAUGCCUACGGUAGCACCACCGAGCCCCAUCACUAUCUUGUCUACGGGUACUACUGGAGAUACGCCGAGUUAUGAUCCUGCUGAGGAUCAGGGCACUUCGCCACCUACUCCAGAUGUGUCGACACCAUCAUAUGGUCCCUUACCUUUGUCUCCGGGAUUACCCGAUCCUACUCUCAGCCCGACGAUUGACAUACAUUAUGAGAUGGGUCUGGAGGGAUUUUACGAUCUGCCGAUGGAGAGUAUUGGUGACAGCCAUGAUGAUCCAUUACUUUACUAUCCAGACAUCAUGAUUCCUGAUGAGCCAGCAAACUAUCAGUCCAUGGAGAGCGUUGGACACCCUGAUGACGACCCAUUCCUUUAUGAUCCAGACGUGAUGAUGAUGGACCAGCCACUUCCUCAGCCGGCGGACUUAUCUUUUUCUCAUACUAUACCUGCGAGUGGAGAGCCUUCCAGCUUUCCACCCAUGGAGCCAUCCACGACCUACUCACCAUUAUCUCAGCCAUUCUAUGACUACGGAGAGCCUUCCAGCUUUCCGACGAUGGAGGUACCCAAGACUGAAUUACCAUUUUACCAGACCACUUAUCAGACCGGAGGGCCAUCUAGCCUUCCAGCGAUGGAUGCAUCUUUUGAUCUUGGAGGAUCUGCUUCUUCUGGUGAUCCUUACGCACCUCAGUCCUAUCGAUGUUUUUGGUGUCAGAGCAGGAUAUGUGGAUCCACACGGAUUCCCAUAUCAUACUUAUCUUGGUAGAUCGGAUCUGUACCCGAGGUGUUUUACUUGUGGAGGCAUAGCACAUUCGACUGGCGUGUGCACGAGCUACGACGAGCCAGCAGCGAUACCCUACCUACACAGUGCGCAACCAGCAGGGGAUUCGUCCGAGUGGGGCUACUGCCCCAACUGCGACAUGUUGCUUUAUAUAUGGCGUUCUUAGACGUGUAGGACCGGGUAAGUAGGGUACAGACUUUUUGUGGUGAUAUAGCGGUGUAUAGACUUUUGUAGUGUUUUGUGACAGCUGAUGUCUUUUGUUGUAUGAUAUAUCAUCAGUAACGAUAAAGGAUGUUUUUCUGUCAAGUAUAUGUAUAUAUUUGAUGGGAGGAUAUGUUUUAUAGUGAAGGUGGUUAUCAUUUGCGUUUUUCUAUUUAGUAAUUACGUAACCAUAUCAUUCAAGUAUGCAUGUUCUUGCAUAUUUGAAUUAUGUGGUUUACAAGAUGAAAAAUAGUGAUCGCUUGGACAUAUGGUUUUACAAAACAUUUACAACUGUUUAAAUAUCACACAAAUCGUUGGUACAGUAGAGUCUUAGUUUUUAGGCCGCAUUUUUUUAGGGCUGGUUAGUGGAACAUAGAAUUGCUAGGUUGUUGGUUAGAAUUGCGGUUAGAUUACCCGGUUAGAAUCGUUAGGUUGCUGGAUAGAUUUGGUAGGUUGCUGGUUAGUUUUGGAUUAGAUUGUUAGGUUAGUUGUUAACUAACUUGCAUGUGAAGUGUUCUUUUGAGUUGCAGCUUGUGUGUUCGUUGAUCGGAACUUUAAGGAAUGGAAACCUUAAAGUGAAAAGAGUUCAAGGCUAAAAACCCAAAAUGAAGAGAGAGAGAUUUAGAGGGACUGGACAGUGGUAUGGACUGGACAAGUAUGAGAAAGACUUCGUUGAGAAAGGACUUCAUCAGUUUUGGGAAAAGAAAGGUUUCAGUGAUCAGAAGCAAAGAUGGUGCGCGUUAUGGCAGAGUAAAUGCAAGAAGACGAUUCAGUAUUCAUCAAGUGAAGAGUUUUGUGGCAACUUUGAGAAGGAGACUCAUGGGAGAGCAGUAGAUACGGUGAAGCAAUAUGAAGAUGAAUUCAGCAUGAGAGUGAAGCGAUAUGGAGAUGAGUUAAGAAUGAGUGAAGCAUGGGAAAUCAAGAAGUGAAGGACGGAUUCAAGACUAAAGGAAUGCUUUGAGAUGUAUCAAGACGGAGUGAGUUCAGAACCAGAAGUUUGGGUGGAGACCAGAGAAACCGAAAGGAGGAAACCAAGGGCAAACCGAUAAAGAAGCACAUCAAGUGAUCAAGACCGCGAGACAAGUGAUCCAAGGAGAAAUUUUCAUCAAGGGGAUGAACAUGUCGUGAAGCUGAGCCAUUGGACAACUAAGAAUGCGAGGACGAAUUCUAUUAAGGGGGGAAGAAUGUGAUAAUCCGCCCUUCGGGAUAAAAUGGUUGAGCAAGGGAAAGUCAGAAUCUGGAGCCAAGCUUUUGGGAGAUUACAUAUUUGGAGUAAUGUUGAGUUUUGAUCACACAAAACUUAACAAGGUUCGGAGAAGACAGAAGAUUGGUCGAGCAUCAACUUGAUGAUCGAACCGCGGGCGGUACGAACCGAGAAGUUCGAAGUAGGAUGUGGUCGAAGAAUGGAUCGUGAGUGAACCAUGAGACAUAUUACGCUGCUCUACCUUUCUUAGAAGAGUCUUAGAUUGAUCAGACGAAGAUUUUGGAAGAAUCACAUUUUUGGAAGCACGACGGUUUAGAAGCUCGACGUUUCUUAGCCACUAAGUUUUCUGUGAAACUUCACAUCUAUCAUCAGAAUAUUAUUUCAGAGAUAUUAUAAUUUGGAAGCAUGACGGGAGUAAGCAGGACGGGAAGCAAGCACGACGGAAAAACCCGAAGUUGGUCGAAAACCCUAAUUUCGGUUUUUCGAAAUUAUUGGAAGAAGCCGGAGGCUCGGGAAAUAUUUUUAGAGGAUCUCAGUAUUUAUCUGGAGUUUAUUAAAAAUAUUUAGAGAAUCAGAACGGGAGCGGAAAAAUAUUCAGGAUUGAUCGCGGGACGAAAAUUCACCAGAAAGACCGAAAUCGCACAAAUCAACCGGGAAGCUCGAGGUGGCCCUAUCUGAGAGAUCAGGACGUGCUGUCCUUCAUCCAAGCAUCUUAGUGUCUCCGUAGCACGACAUGUCUCCGCAGGAUGAAGCCUCACAUGCAGCAUGACACCCAAAGCACGACAUGGCAUCGUCUUGACACCCAGAGGCCCGUGUGUCGCGAUGCAUGAGCUCCAGCCAUGCUGAAUGACAUCUGGACGUGGUGCUGGCUUCUGGCAUGCAGAGGAGUCAUGCAUGGUGACAUUUGGACGCCCGUGUGUCGCCGCGCAUGCGACUGGAAGCAUGCGGGACGACACAAAGGCGAUGGAGUGGCACCAUUUCAAUGGUUGGCCAUAUCUAUAUAAACCCAGCUCCCCCAGCUCGUUUCAUUCAUUCCACACACUCAAACAUCACUCUAAAACUUGGGCUAGAGAGAGAAAGUGAAGUAGAAAAAGGAAGUGAAGGAUUUGGAGUUGUUUUGAAGAAGUUAGAGCAUUUUUAAGAGCCAUUGUUCUACCGAAAGUCCAAGAAGAAGAUCCAGAAGUCCGAGGAGGUUCUGUCCAAGUCCUGAUUCGUCCAUACCAGUCCAUUGAAGACAGAGGCCUUGGGUUUUGGCUAGGCUCUCUCCGAUCAACCAGCUGCAAGAACACUGUGAGUUGGUUUGUUUGAGUUCCACUUGGAACUUAGGAUAGAUCGAGUUGCAUAUAGAGUAGAAAUAUCACACUGAUGCAUGAUAGAGUCCUAGGGUUAUUUUUAUUUAUGAAUUGGACUCAGUUUAGCAUGGGCUAAGCUGAGAUAUAGGCCGUGUUCGUUUGCUGGUCGCUAGCGUCAGCGACCAAGUUCAGCGACCAAACGCUGUUCGUUUACCGGUCGUGAGUUCAGCGACUGAUCUCAGCGACCAAACGCUAGCGAUCAGCGAUUUAAAAUUUUGGACGCUGGAAAUUUCAGCGGUGCGACCAAAAUCGUGCGACUAGAAAUUUUUUUUUUUUUUUUUUUUUGAACACUCGAAAAAAUAAAAAAAAACUUAAAAAGACAAAACUACCCUAAAUAUAUUUACAGAAUCACAAUACAUUGCCAUUAACCCUAAUACAAACUCACGCCAAAAAAAAAAACCAGAAACUUCUCUCUCUCUCCCCGAUCUAUUUCCUGCGGCCAUACUUCUCUUCUCUGCUCAAGCUCUCUUUCUCUCCGAUCUAUUUCCGGCAGCCACAGAGAACCUUCUCUGCUCAAGGUCUCUCUCUCUCUCUCUCUCUCUCUCUCUCUCUCUCUCUGCGUUUUGUGUGAGGAUAAUGGAACCUUUAGAUUAAUUAAGUUGACUGUUGGGUUUUUUGAUUCUUGAUAUGGGUUGCUUUUAGAUUUAAGAUUUUGAUUAUCAAAUCUUUGUUUUUAAUCCGAUUAUCAGACAUGGGUUUGAGUUCCUGUGAAUGUUUUCAGACAUGGGUUUGAGUUCUUUUUGGUAUGUGACGAAGUGUUCUUGCAUUUGCUUUCAAGUAGUUUAUAGUUUGGUCUGAAUAAAGCUUCGAUGUUUGGAACAAGAGUCAAAUUUUGUGUGCUUUUGAUAGAUUGUUGUUUCAGUUUAGUAGUAGUGAUGAAAUAUGUGUCUGCAAGUCUCAUCAUUUAUGUCUGUAUUAUCUUCUCAGGUUGGACAUAAAUCACAACAAGACAAGAUAAGAAGAAUGGCUGAUGAUGUAAGUGUUUUAGGCAGUUCUAGUUUCUUAGAUCUUUUGUGAUAGUUUUUUCUGCUAGUUUAGCUUGUUUGUCUAUUGAUGAGACUUGUUAUUUAGAAAUGGACCGAUGAAGAAGUUAGGUAUUUCUUUGCUCUUUAUGCUGAUGAGAAAAAGAAAGGGAACAGACCAAGGAGUGGCAUGAAUCUAGCUGGAAGAGAGUUCAUCGUAAAUAAGUUUGAAGAGAAAUUUGGUAAGAGAUGGAUAUGGGACAGGUUUAAGAACAAGGUUGAUAUUAGUAGAAAAGCAUAUGUCAAGUUCAAGAAGCUUACCCACAAUAGAACCGGGCUUGUCUAUGAUGCUUUGGGAAGGUUGGAGAUGUCGGAUGCUUGGUGGGAUCAACGCAUUGCGGUAAGUAUCUUUCUCUUAGUCUUCAGUGCUUUAAUAAUGUCAGUAUUAGAGUUCUCUUUCUGCUUAGAGUGAAAAAUAUUAGACAUUGAAUCAGUAUUAGCUUGAAAAAAAUAUUAGACAUUGAAAAAUACUGUAUGUUUCAAAUAUACUAAUUUUUUUCUUCUUAAACAGGAAUGGCAAGGUGCAAGAAAGUAUAAGACCAAAGUGCCUCCAAACAUGGAUGUGUUUGAAGCAGAGUUUGGUGCUGUUACUGUAACUGGAGCAGAAGGAUGGUGUGCUCAGCAAGGAGAAGCUAGCUUAGAUUCUAGAGUAGAUGUAGAGAAGGAUGACGAGUCUGAUUCAGUUGACACUGGGAUGCCAGCACCAAGAGAAGGAACAAGUAGAGCUGGAGGUUCAAAAAGAAAGCGUAAGGAAUUUGAUCAAGAGCCUUAUGUUCUAAGGAAUGCAAUUCUGGCUGAGAAAAAUAAGAUAGCAGAAAAGAUGGUAGAGAUAAUGGCAGAGGAUCGUGUGGUGUUGCAGCAGGAUCGCAAAUUCCGUGUGCACUCUGUGUUGGAGAUACUUAAUGAGCUACCUGGAAUUAUAAAGUGGUCACCAUUUCACAUUGCUGCAGUUAACCAUCUCAAAGCUGUUGAAGAAAACAGAAUGGCUUUUAUGUCUUUCUCUAGUGAUGAUGAUAAGAUUAGCUAUCUUGAAAAUAUGAUUGGAGUUAAGAUAUAUGAAGGAUUGUAGUGUCUGUUUCAGUAUGACUGUUUUAAUAUGACUCAGAUUGUAGUGUUUCUUUUAAGUAUGACUUUUGUUUCAUUUUUUUGGUAUGAAUCAGAUUGUAGUAUUUUAAUGUGAUAGUACCAUUAUUCUCGUGUCUGCCUGCUCAAAUUGGAAGUUGGUUUUUUUUAAUGUGAUAGGAAGUUGGGUUUUUUUUUUCUGUCUCGCAACUUAUAUAUAUAUAUGUGAUUUUAAUGCUUUGCAGAUGGUUAGGUGGUACUUGGAUGAUGAUGAUGAGGAUGAUGAUUAUGAGGAAGAGCAUGAAGUUGAUGUGCUUAAGCCAGAGAGAUUGCUUCAUAGAACAGAUCGAGGUGCUGGAUGGAAUCAUGUUCAGCAGCUUAUGCACGGGUCAGAUCAACAGUGCUAUGAUAUUCUUCGCAUGAAUCAGAGGACAUUUCAAGAUCUGUGUAAGAUGUUAGCAACGAGAUAUGGGUUACAAGAGACGUUGAAUGUCUAUAUUGAAGAAGCGGUUGCAAUGUUCCUUGAAGUGGUGGGUCAAGAUAAGACAGUACGGGUUAUUGCACAAAGAUAUCAACGUUCGUUGGAUACAGUCAAAAGGAAACUUGGUGAGGUUUUGAGUUCUCUCUUGAAAUUUGCUGCAGAUACACUAAAACCAGAAGAUGGUGAGUUCACAAGAGUAUGUCCUGCUUUGAGAAAUGAUGAUCGAUACUGGCCAUUUUUUAAAGACUGUAUUGGAGCAUUGGAUGGAACUCAUAUCUCAGUCCGCCCUCCUAAACGAAAUGCAGAAGCAUACAGGGGCAGAAAACAGGAGCCAACCAUGAAUGUCCUUGCUAUAUGUAACUUUGAUAUGAAGUUCAUAUAUGCUUAUGUGGGUGUGCCGGGUAGAGCCCAUGACACAAAGGUAUUAACUUAUUGUGCGAGGAAUGAGCCUUUUUUUCCACAUCCGCCAAAUGGAAAGUAUUAUUUGGUUGAUGCUGGAUAUCCCACAAGAACAGGGUAUCUUGGUCCGUAUCGUAGAGUUCGGUAUCAUCUCGAUCAGUUCAACAGAGGAGGACCGCCAACGAACACUCGAGAGGUGUUCAACCGGAGACAUUCAAGCUUGCGAUCAGUGAUUGAGCGGACAUUUGGAGUGUGGAAAGCAAAAUGGAGAAUUCUUGACCGUAGGCAUCCAAAAUAUGGUUUGAUCAAAUGGAUAAAGCUAGUGACGGCAACGAUGGCUCUACACAACUUCAUACGUGAUUCACAUCGAGAAGAUAAUGAUUUUGUGCAUUGGCAGAGAAGAGAAGAAUAUCAUACUCAUGGUGAUAAUGAUGAAGAAGAAAGAGAUGAAGAGGAAGAUGAAGAAGAAGAAGAAGAAGAUGGUGAUGGUCAUGGUGGACAUAUUCCAUAUGAGCCGACUGGUGAUAGAGCCAUGGAAGGUUUACGUGAUCAUAUUGGUAAUGAGUUGAGUAGAGGAUAUCGAUUACCUUAUUAGUUUAUUUGAUUUGAAUUUGUACUGAUUAUUAUUAUAAGUUACUCGUAUGAUCACUCAUAAACAAAAGUGAACUUGUACAAGGAAAAAUAUAAGAAAUUGAAACGAUUAAACAUAUUGCAUCCAUGGUGUGAUUUAUUACACUUUACAGUUUUAAUGAUUUAGCCACGUUUUUGACGAAACCUAAGUACACAAGAGCAAAUGUAUGUCAAAAGUAAAUAUUUGGUCGCCAGCGAUACAGAAACGAACAGCAUAGCGACAACCGCUGCGAUCAAUCGCGCGACAUAGAAACGAACAGCAUAGCGACAACCGCUGCGAUCAAUCGCGCGACCUUCAAACGAACAACUAUCAGCGACAUCAUGUCGCAGUCGCUGGUCGCUGACUCUGGUCGCUGACGCUGGCGACCACGAAACGAACAGGGCCAUAAUGGAAUUAAGACUGAGUUAUAACCUGACUAGGACUAGGAUGAAUGAUGCAUUAACCGGUAUAGUGUGAUAAAUUAUGGCGUAGCUGAAUUGUUAGGAUUGAGAUGCAUGUUUUCCUUUAUUUAUUUAUGGGUAGUUUAGUAAUGGAGUAGACCUGCCUUAGAGAUAUUAGGACUAUUGAAUGCUUGGUUUGGUAGUGAUUGUUGUUGUGCAGGGAUGGUAUUGUUCAGGAGAUCUUAGGCCAUAUAGGCCGAUUUCCGUCCAUGUCGAGUUUAGUACUACGAAUCCUAUGCCAUAUAGGCUGGACUACGAGUACUGGUGUUAGUGUCGUAGACUCCUUAGUGUAUUUAAGUUUGUGGUAGGAGUCUUGGUCUUAUUAGGAUUAGUGUGUUGUUGCCGAUAGUAUGAGCAUAACCCGUCCAUACUAGGCUUGUUUAAGGGUGAUUAGUGUUUCCUCAGCCUCGUACCCAGCGGGUUUAAGGAAAUCCCUUCUUCGUUGGAUCGGGAAGACUCAGAGAGACAGGAUCAUGGUCUAUGGCUGAAUUAUUACACGACGGUGUAAUGUGGCAGUGACCCGAAGGACUGUGGGCUGUCGCGCGGUGACCCGAAGGACUGUGGGCCGCAGUCGGUUGAAAGUUCCUUCUUCUGGCCUUUGUGGUAGGGAGAUAGGAUAUUGCCGAUGUUGAGGAGGAACACGAGAUCACCAGGGCCCAUGUUAGAGUAUUGAGUCUAGAGUUAGAAUAGUGUGUCGAGUUAGUUUUAUUGUGUCGUCUUGAGGGUGAGGAACCCUCGAGAUAGUGUUAGCACCGAGAUACGGUGUUGAUCAAGUCUUGAUUGUUAGAUUAGGGAUCCGUUGAGUAGAUGGUCGUUUGGCCAUGUCUAUUAUUAGUAUUAUUAGAUUAAGGUCGAGCAUACCUUAAUCGGUGCGGUUUUGGGGAUUAGCCUUAAAGCUAUUUUCUGCGCUUAGGCUAGAUUGAUUGUUAUUUUUGGGUUGUCUGAGCUAGCUACUAGGUUUAGGUAUUUAGGUAGCCAGCUCACUGAGUGACCUUCUGUUACUCACCCAACUCUCGUUGUCCUUUUUGCAGGAGUUUAGGUUGUAGGAGAUUGGACGCGUAGGCCACCGAAAUAGAUUUGCAGUGCAUUUGGCUACGGUUUGAUUUUUAUACGAUUUAUGUUUCCGUUGCGUUUUAUCGGAUUUGGGAUCCCUAAAGUAUUGCAAAUAUUCUUAAAAGUCUUGGAUUUAAAUCUUAAAAAAAUUAACGGGUCCAAUAUGAUAUUGGUUUAGUCCGAACCAACACAACGUUAGGUCUUGGUACGGGUUGAAAAGCCUUAGGCCUCGAUCUAACGGAACCGUUAACUCAUGGUACAGGUUGCAAAGCCUUAAGCUUUGAUUUAGCGGGACGUGUUAGUGGAUGAACUAGUCUAGGUUGCGGAAUAAAUCUGUGACUCGGACCGGAUCGUCCCUAGCUCGUCACGUAGCGCUUCCGGACCAUGGUGUUGGGUUGGACGGUCAGUCAUGUUCUUGUUUGAUUGUUGGCUGGCCGGUUGGCCUUUCAUCUCCAAUCCUUGGUGUUGGUUGGUCUGUCGGUCAUGUUCUUGUUUGAUUGUUGGCCGGUGGGUCGACCUAUACCUAGGACGGUUCGGGGGUGUUACAGUCCUUGUCUUAGGACUUUCUCAAACUGUACCAUUCAAAUAACUGAAAACAGAAAAGUCUUUGGUCUUUAAGACUUGUAAGCCGUGGGUAAUAAAUCUUUGUCUUUGUUAAGACAUGUGUAAGCCGUGGGUAAAAAUCUUUGUAAGCCGUGGGUAAGGAAUCUGUUUUCAGUUAUAGUCUUUUGUCUUAAGACUGAGCCGCAUGCUCUUAUUUGCCAUCCCCUAAAGCCCUUCUUUAUACAUGCACCACCAACCCAUAUUCUCGGUCCAUUAGGAGAUGGCAUAAGUUUCUUUUAGAGGCAGCAAGGGACAAUGUUUUCAGUUAUAGUCCUUGUCUUAGGACUUUCUCAAACUGUACCGUUCAAAUAACUGAAAACAGAAAAGUCUUUGGUCUUUAAGACUUGUAAGCCGUGGGUAAUAAAUAUUUGUCUUUAUCUAAGACAUGUGUAAGCCGAGGGUAAUAAAUCUUUGUAAGCCGUGGGUAAGGAAUCUGUUUUUAGUUAUAGUCUU